GCAGUCGAGCGGAACGAGUUAUCUGAACCUUCGGGGAACGAUAACGGCGUCGAGCGGCGGACGGGUGAGUAAUGCCUAGGAAAUUGCCCUGAUGUGGGGGAUAACCAUUGGAAACGAUGGCUAAUACCGCAUAAUGCCUACGGGCCAAAGAGGGGGACCUUCGGGCCUCUCGCGUCAGGAUAUGCCUAGGUGGGAUUAGCUAGUUGGUGAGGUAAGGGCUCACCAAGGCGACGAUCCCUAGCUGGUCUGAGAGGAUGAUCAGCCACACUGGAACUGAGACACGGUCCAGACUCCUACGGGAGGCAGCAGUGGGGAAUAUUGCACAAUGGGCGCAAGCCUGAUGCAGCCAUGCCGCGUGUGUGAAGAAGGCCUUCGGGUUGUAAAGCACUUUCAGUCGUGAGGAAGGUAGUGUAGUUAAUAGCUGCAUUAUUUGACGUUAGCGACAGAAGAAGCACCGGCUAACUCCGUGCCAGCAGCCGCGGUAAUACGGAGGGUGCGAGCGUUAAUCGGAAUUACUGGGCGUAAAGCGCAUGCAGGUGGUUUGUUAAGUCAGAUGUGAAAGCCCGGGGCUCAACCUCGGAAUUGCAUUUGAAACUGGCAGACUAGAGUACUGUAGAGGGGGGUAGAAUUUCAGGUGUAGCGGUGAAAUGCGUAGAGAUCUGAAGGAAUACCGGUGGCGAAGGCGGCCCCCUGGACAGAUACUGACACUCAGAUGCGAAAGCGUGGGGAGCAAACAGGAUUAGAUACCCUGGUAGUCCACGCCGUAAACGAUGUCUACUUGGGAGGUUGUGGCCUUGAGCCGUGGCUUUCGGAGCUAACGCGUUAAGUAGACCGCCUGGGGGAGUACGGUCGCAAGAUUAAAACUCAAAUGAAUUGACGGGGGCCCGCACAAGCGGUGGAGCAUGUGGGUUUAAUUCGAUGCAACGCGAAGAACCUUACCUACUCUUGACAUCCAGAGAACUUUCCAGAAAAUGGAUUGGUGCCUUCGGGAACUCUGAGACAGGUGCUGCAUGGCUGUCGUCAGCUCGUGUUGUGAAAUGGUUGGGUUAAGUCCCGCAACGAGCGCAACCCUUAUCCUUGUUUGCCAGCGAGUAAUGUCGGGAACUC
rnacentral:rRNA from 1 species